UGUUAAUUAAUUAAUGAAUCAAAAAAAGCCAUUCUUAACACAAGUCGGUAACAUCUUGAAUCAAUGUUAUCGCCUAUCUUGAACCAAGAGACAAAAAUUCUUGAAAGAAAUAUAUCUAUAUCUAGUUUCAAGAGUUCAAGUUUUGAAGAA